rnacentral:tRNA from 1 species
CGGGGUGUAGCGCAGUCUGGUAGCGCGCCUGCUUUGGGUGCAGGAUGUCAGGAGUUCGAAUCCCCUCACCCCGACCA